UGCUGCAUGCUUUAUACAUGCAAGUCGAACGGAGGCCCUAGCUUGCUAGGUGUCCUUAGUGGCGCACGGGUGAGUAACACGUGGGAACAUACCUCAUAGUACGGAAUAACUGCGGGAAACUGUAGCUAAUACCGUAUAUUCCAGCAAUGGGAAAGAUUUAUCGCUAUGAGAUUGGCCCGCGCAAGAUUAGUUUGUUGGUAAGGUAAUGGCUUACCAAGGCUACGAUCUUUAGCUGGUUUGAGAGGAUGAUCAGCCACACUGGGACUGAGACACGGCCCAGACUCCUACGGGAGGCAGCAGUAGGGAAUAUUGGACAAUGGGGGCAACCCUGAUCCAGCAAUGCAGCGUGAG
rnacentral:rRNA from 1 species